GUCCCCUUCGUCUAGAGGCCUAGGACAGCGCCCUCUCACGGCGCCAACAGGGGUUCGAAUCCCCUAGGGGACG
rnacentral:tRNA from 1 species